GACAAAAACUUUGAGAAACACAGAUCUUUUGUUGUAACACAGUCCCAAGGUGAGGUCAAAGCAUUAACUUAUUAUUCCACGACUAGUGCAUCAUUUGUGCCAUUUAGACUGCUUUCGAUUGUUGAA